UACAGAGGUCUCAAGCGUUGUUCGGAUUCAUUGGGCGUAAAGGGCUCGUAGGCGGCCAACUAAGUCAUACGUGAAAUCCCUCGGCUUAACCGGGGAACUGCGUCUGAUACUGGAUGGCUUGAGUUCGGGAGAGGGAUGCGGAAUUCCAGGUGUAGCGGUGAAAUGCGUAGAUAUCUGGAGGAACACCGGUGGCGAAGGCGGCAUCCUGGACCGGCAUUGACGCUGAGGCGCGAAAGCCAGGGGAGCAAACGGG
rnacentral:rRNA from 1 species